GCAUGCCGGGUGACAACCGGCCGUAACAGGGAAUUGGCGGACGCAGCUCAUUUUGCCGGUUUCUGGCUGCGACAUCAACGUAUCGGUACGCGCUGACGCCUAACCUGUUCCCGGC
rnacentral:sRNA from 18 species